rnacentral:rRNA from 1 species
CCUACGGUAGGCCGCAGUGGGGAAUAUUGCACAAUGGGGGAAACCCUGAUGCAGCGACGCCGCGUGAGUGAAGAAGUAUUUCGGUAUGUAAAGCUCUAUCAGCAGGGAAGAAGAAAGACGGUACCUGACUAAGAAGCCCCGGCUAACUACGUGCCAGCAGCCGCGGUAAGACGUAGGGGGCAAGCAUUAUCCGGAUUUACUGGGUGUAAAGGGAGCGUAGACGGCUGUGCAAGUCUGAAGUGAAAGCCCAGUGCUCAACCCUGGUACUGCUUUGGAAACUGUGGAGCUAGAGCGCUGGAGAGGUAAGUGGAAUGCCUAGGGUAGCGGUGAAAUGCGUAGAUAUUAGGAGGAACACCAGUGGCGAAGGCGGCUUACUGGACAGUAACUGACGUUGAGGCUCGAAAGCGUGGGGAGCAAACAGGAUUAGAUACCCCUGUAGUC